UGUUGUAUAGCUCAGUGAUAGAGCGCGUGCUUAGCAUGCACAAGGUCCUGGGUUCAAUUCCCAGUACCUCCA
rnacentral:tRNA from 1 species